UGUUACAACCAUAUUACACUUUGUCAUUUAGUCACAUGACUGAUGUGGGGUGCUGGUUCAGGAUAAAUAGGGCAGAUUGUCUUUAUGUCUCAGAGAAGAUUUAUUUCGACUCAUUUCUGAAGACUGGUGUAAAGAAGUGCAACUGUUAUGGCUCAUCAUAUGAAGGGACUCUUCCUGAUCUGCCUGCUUUCAAUAUUUACUAGAAGCACAGAGGCUCAGAAUAUUAACAAUCUUGCUUCCAUUAUACAGUUCUUGAACACAAAUUAUCAGGUAGGCCAGUAUGCAGCAGCCAUCAAUGUCCCACAGGAACAGUGUCAGGGGAAUUUCAUACCCACAACUGACAACUUCUUGACAAAUGACCCAGAAACGAAUGUAAAAAAUGCUAUAAGAGGUGAUACAAGUCCAGUCUACAAAGGCACAGAGCUCGUCGCUGCAGGAGUCCAGAAACAACCUCGUCCAGCACAUUCAGAGUUUCUGCUUCUAGACCCUGUAAAUAAUUCACCUUUAACAUAUUUACUGAAUAAGAGAAAGAACGGAUGUGUGGUGUUUUACACCCUAAACUCUCCCUGUAUGAACACUUGUCUCACUGGAAAGUACAACAUUAUACCAGGUGUUAAUAAAUUAAAAAACUAUAAGGGAAUAAAAGCCUUUGUUUUCAAAAAUAUCUGGAACCAUGAUCAAAACAAACCAGAGGAGCUGAAAGAAAAACUGAAGACUAUUGCUGAUCGUGUCCCACUCUACCGCUGCAGAAACAACAAUCAAUGCAUCCUUUGUGGAGAGCCAAAUUCAAAUGUUGAAAUAAAUAAUGCAUGUUUGUCUGUUUAAAAAAACACAGUUGUCUGGGUUGCUUAAUUUUCAUGAGCUUGAUAAGAUGCUCUUUCAAAGACUCAAGAAAAGUCAUCAAAUUUCAUAUUACAUUCCAUGUAUUUUUUGUGUAAAAUAAUUUUGUCUUAUUUCUCUUUUAAGGGUUACAUUUCAUGCCACACAACAAUUUCAAUGCUAACUUCAUAAAAUAAAUAAAGUCUUGAAUUUGCA